CAGCAGCCGCCGCGGGAAAACGUAGGUGGCAAGCGUUGUCCGGAAUUAUUGGGCGUAAAGGGCUCGCAGGCGGUUUCUUAAGUCUGAUGUGAAAGCCCCCGGCUCAACCGGGGAGGGUCAUUGGAAACUGGGAAACUUGAGUGCAGAAGAGGAGAGUGGAAUUCCACGUGUAGCGGUGAAAUGCGUGGAGAUGUGGAGGAACACCAGUGGCGAAGGCGACUCUCUGGUCUGUAACUGACGCUGAGGAACGAAAGCGUGGGGGGCGAACAGGAUUAGAUACCCGAGUAGUCCCUGUCUCUUAUAC
rnacentral:rRNA from 1 species